rnacentral:rRNA from 1 species
UACGUAGGGUGCGAGCGUUAAUCGGAAUUACUGGGCGUAAAGCGUGCGUAGGCGGUCCGCAAAGUCUGAUGUGAAAGCCCCGGGCUCAACCUGGGAACUGCAUUGGAAACUGACGGGCUCGAGUGUGGCAGAGGGGGGUGGAAUUCCACGUGUAGCAGUGAAAUGCGUAGAGAUGUGGAGGAACACCGAUGGCGAAGGCAGCCCCCUGGGCUAACACUGACGCUCAGGCACGAAAGCGUGGGGAGCAAACAGG